CCUACGGGUGGCAGCAGUGGGGAAUAUUGGGCAAUGGGCGCAAGCCUGACCCAGCAACGCCGCGUGAAGGAAGAAGGCUUUCGGGUUGUAAACUUCUUUUCUCAGGGACGAAGAAAGUGACGGUACCUGAGGAAUAAGCCACGGCUAACUACGUGCAAGCAGCCGCGGUAAUACUGAGGUGGCAAGCGUUAUCCGGAUUUACUGGGUGAAAAGGGCGUGUAGGCGGGCAAGCAAGUCAGAUGUGAAAACCACGGGCUAACCCUGUGGCCUGAAGUUGAAACUGUUUUUCUUGAGUACUGGAGGGGCAGACGGAAUACCUGGUGUGGCGGUGAAAUGCGUAGUUAUUAGAAGGAACACCAGUGGCGAGGGCGGUCUGCUGGACAGCAACGGAGGCUGGGGCGCGAA
rnacentral:rRNA from 1 species